rnacentral:ncRNA from 1 species
AAUGAGCCGACGACUCAUAGGCAGUGGCUUGGUUAAGGGAACCCACCGGAGCCAUAGCGAAAGCGAGUCAGAAUGGGGCAAUUCUCACUGCUUAUGGACCCGAACCUUUCUUCUUCAGGAUGCAGCUUGGGUGAAACUAAGUGGAGGUCCGAACUGUCUGAUGUUGAAGAAUCAGCGGAU